GUCUCGGUAGCGCAAUGAACUGUGCGUUGGACUUCCAAUCCAAAAGUCGUGGGUUUGAAUCCCACCAGGGAUG